rnacentral:rRNA from 1 species
ACAGCAGUAGCCGCGGGAAUACGAGGGGAGCUAGCGUUGUUCGGAAUUACUGGGCGUAAAGCGCGCGUAGGCGGCUUUUUAAGUCAGAGGUGAAAGCCCGGGGCUCAACCCCGGAAUUGCCUUUGAAACUGGAAAGCUAGAAUCUUGGAGAGGUCAGUGGAAUUCCGAAUGUAGAGGUGAAAUUCGUAGAUAUUCGGAAGAACACCAGUGGCGAAGGCGACUGACUGGACAAGUAUUGACGCUGAGGUGCGAAAGCGUGGGGAGCAAACAGGAUUAGAUACCCGAGUAGUCCCUGUCUCUUAUAC